CCUACGGGACGCAGCAGUGGGGAAUAUUGCACAAUGGGGGGAACCCUGAUGCAGCGACGCCGCGUGAGUGAAGAAGUAUUUCGGUAUGUAAAGCUCUAUCCUCAUUUAAGAAGAUUACUUUACCUGACUAAGAAGCCCCGGCUAACUACGUGCCAGCAGCCGCGGUAAUACGUAGGUGGCAAGCGUUAUCCGUAUUUACUGGGUGUAAAGGGAUCGUAGACGGCAGGGCAAGUCUUUAGUUCAAGCCCGUGGCCCAACCCCG
rnacentral:rRNA from 1 species